CUGCAGGAGAAAAGAUUGUUAUUAAAGCUGUUGGAUUUUUCUCACCAAAAAAAUCAUUUUGGGAGGUGGGCGGGAAGCAAAGGAUGUGUGUUCUCAUUUAAGAAUUCCUCAGAUAUUUUCUUUAUCUUAACUCUUCAUGUGCCUGCUGCUGUGCAGCAGUUACGUGGACAGUUAGGACUAUUGCCAUUCGUAUAACAGGCAAAAUUGUAGGUCAUUUGUCCCAGAGCUAACUUCUCCUGAUACUUGUAGUGGACGUGGGUUUUAAUUUGAUUGAAUUUAAUCCCUGACUUUUUCUCCUGUUCAAAUAAGUGGGCCAAAAGUAGCUGCUGCAGCAGAUGAAAGAUCCCAUUGGACUAAUGAGAUGACUUGCAUGUGUUGGUGUUUGCAACAUCUGGGCUGCAAACUCCAGAUUCUCCAGCCUUGCCUUCUUGGAUAUCGUGUGAGCCACGGCACAGGCAAAGAUGGAGCUUGCUGUUGGAAAGGAGGAUCCUGUGGCGCUGGACUUGGUGACAUUGGGUGGCUCUCCCAUGACCCUGUUUUUGUGGAGUGGUUUAUUCUCCAAGCAUGGCAGAAGCAUCCAGCAGUGCUGGCGGAUGAGGAGCUAUGAAGGAGCCUUCAAACUUUUCACCCUGGGCUUUCGGUCAGGCCGGCUGCCUCCGGAUUUAAGGGCUUUUAGUUAAACAGAUUUGCAGCUUUUUCUAGUUUGUUUGCAUCAUGAGGACCUAGGAAGAGCUCAGUUCCUGUUUCCAGCUAUGAGGUAUGGCUAAAGGGUCAUCAGGGAAAGGAAAAGCUUUGUCCUGGCCAAGAUGUUUGGAGGAGAACAAGUCCCUUGCUCAUAAGCAGAGACUGGAGACUCGCUUCUAAGCGCUUGAAAUCUGCCAGAUACUCAAAACUGCCUUGGUUUUCUGGCAGAGGGAGAAGAGGAAAGGCUUUUCAUCCUCCUUAUCUUUGGGCCCAGGAGCUCUUGUGGCUGAGCUGUGUAAUCUUCUUCAAAACAAGAGAUUGCUGAGACUUCUCCCUAUGUUUCAGUGCCUCUGCUUGGUGGGACUGCUGCUGAGCUUGUCCUUGCUUUACCUUCCUCUCCCUGUCUCCCCUCUAGUCCCUCUGUUCCAAGUUCAGUGUUCCAAUGCCCUGUUGGGGGUAAAAUCCACGGUAAUGCAGUCGUUACUUUUCUGCUGUGGUCAGGGUUAAAAUUUGCACGUGGGGUUUAGCCUCUUUUUUUCCACGCAGCUGUCAAACUGCUAGUUGGGUUUUGCAAAUUCACGAGCAAAAUAUUGCCUGUGUAUAAAGAUAAGUUUCUGAAAUGCAUUUUGGUUUUUUUUUCACUUGGACAGAAAAACCAUCCUUGGAUGCAUAUGGGUAGGAGAGUAAACCAGGAGCAUGUUUUAUCACUAGAUGUCUGCGCACAGGAAGGACCAGAGCCAUGAACCCACCGCAGAAAACAGCGAAGGCCACCACGUAGGUCAUGAGUAAUGGGAAGGUGGUGGCCAGAGGACAGAGCAGGUUAGUGAUGCCGCCGAGGACAAGGUAAGCCACGUGGUAGUGAUACUUCUUGGUCCAGUUCUGGUCAGCAACCCAGCCUGAGAGCAGCUGGCUGACUGUCUCUGUGAUGCCUGGGGGGAAGAGGAGUUCACCAAAGCCUCAAAGAAGACUUUUUUUUUUUUUUUUGCUAUUCUGCACUGUGUUGCUCUGAAACGCAUCCCAAUUCCACCUGCCACUCACUGUAAGAACGUGACCACAAAGGGCUGAAAUGCCGGGAAGUUACAGGAAGGCAUUUUUAGGCUGCUGUAAAAUUCAUGCUUUUUUUUUUUCUUUACGUUGGUGCCUGCUACUGCCAAGUGCCUGUGGGUGCACCAAAGUGGUCUGUAAAAAUUCAAUUAAGGGCUGUGCACUCAGCAGAAAACUCUGAAAUGCCCUUCAGUAAAAACAGGAAAGAUAAGCUUGCCGUUUGAUCUCUUUUUCAAGAUAGAGAAAAAGCAGAAUAUUAAGAAGAAAUAUGCUUAUGAGAUUUUAAUUUUUAUAAAGAAGCAAAGAAGGACAGAAGCCCAGCCUUAUUUUAAAGGCUUAGCAAACUUUUGGUACUUGCUUUUUACAUUUCUCGAUAUGUUUUUAUGAACUAAAGAUCAGAAGAGUGCUCACUGUCAGCUCAUAUCUUGCUGACCACUGUGUCCCUCCUACUCUUAAUUCAAAAUGUCAGAUUAAUUGCUGCACUCUCCUUCUAGAUGCUUUGACAGCAUACAUAAUUUCUAAAUAUUAUACAGCAGUGUAGAAGUAAAAUUUAUUUUUAUACAAUAAAAUAUUUUAUGAUGACUGA